UUUCAGACUUGUUCCCAAGAAACAUUGAUUUUUAUGGCAUCAACUCCUGAUCCCUGGACGGCUUCUUUAUCCCAACUCAGGGCUGGGUCUCACACAGUCCGGUUUGGUGGUUGCAGAGCUGCAUUGCAUUGACCAUCACAGGAAUGUUCUCCUAACCAAUAGGUACCACAUCCAGGUGUACACUUGACACAGUCACUUUUCUUCAGGGAAAGGACCCGAUUUCGUAGCAGACAGGAAUGCUGACCCACUUGCCUUCUGCUGCAAGCAUCCAUCAAACCCAGCCUCUGUGUCCCCUGGAGUCUUAAUUUUCCUCUUGACAGCAAAGACAAAUGACUCCCCCAGGGCUGUUUGCUCAUGUCUACUCAAGGUUUCCAUGACUUUUCUUGACGAUGACCUGUUUUUUAAACACACAAUGAGUUUUCUUUCCUCUGCCAUCUACCAGUGUGAAGGCAGAGAUAGAUUUGUUUUAGAUUUGGUGCCAAUCCCAGACACAUCUUCCCUCUCUGCUCUCUGCUUGAGGCUUCUUCUUGUCCCUAGAUGUUGCCAGCUGUGAUACUUUCCCCCCAUUUUGGCUUGUCCUGCACAGAUAUGGUGAUAUUUCAUUUGAGGUGGAACAACAAAAAGAGAAUACAUUUUCUGGUAUUUUCCCAGUCCACCACAAGUUUUUUCCCAAUUCACCACGAAAACUGAUUUAUUUUUUUUCCUGCCCUGUUCUUUCCUCUACAAGGCUCCCCUGACAUUACGCCACCAGCUCCCAAAUGGUGGGAUUUUUCCCCAUAGGUAAAUUCCCAUUUCUUUAGGAUUAUUCUACUCUUUGUGACAACCACUGAUACUCUGGGAGGCCUCAGCUCGAGAGGCUGGGAGCUGCUGUUCGAAUUGUCAGCCCAAAGGAAAGGAGCUGCUAUGUGUUGUUUAGGACGAUGGUUUCACAGCUGA